rnacentral:rRNA from 1 species
AGCAGCCACCUUUUAAAACGCGUCAAAGCGUAACCUUAACCCCCAAAAUACCACUAAUUUUCAUGAACCCCUAAUUUAUAAUGAAUGACUCCAUAUUUAUAUGGAAGACACCAUGCUAGGAUUAGUAACAAGAAUUUAUAAUUCUCCAAAAUGCAAAUAUAAACCAACAUGGAUGGACCAUUGGUAGUUACCGAACCUAAAUUCAAUGCAAUAACACCUACAAGAAAACUCUGCAGUACUCACUCGUUAACCUAACACCAGCGCAUUACAGGAAAGAUUAAAAAAAAGAGAAGGAAUUCGGCAAAUGGCGGCCCCGCCUGUUUACCAAAAACAUCGCCUCUUGACUUAUAAUAAGAGGUCUAGCCUGCCCAGUGAAUUUUAAACGGCCGCGGUAUCCUAACCGCGCGAAGGUAGCAUAAUCACUUGUUCUUUAAAUGGGGACUCGUAUCAACGGCAUCACGAGGGUUUUACUGUCUCCUCUUUUUGAUCAGUGAAAUUGAUCUUCCCGUGAAGAAGCGGGAAUAAAUUUAUAAGACGAGAAGACCCCAUGGAGCUUUAAACCAAAUAACAACUUAACCACUCACCCCAUAAUAAAUUUAAGCCCUGUUAUAAGGUUUUUGGUUGGGGUGACCGCGGAGUAAAGCAUAUCCUCCACGACGAAAAGAACAGAAUCUUUAUUUAAGAACCACACUUCUAGAAAUUAGUAUACUAACGUUUACUGACCCGACAAUCGAUCAACGGACCAAGUUACCCUGGGGAUAACAGCGCAAUCUACUUCAAGAGCUCAUAUCGACAAGUAGGCUUACGACCUCGAUGUUGGAUCAGGGUAUCCCGGUGGUGCAGCCGCUACCGAAGGUUCGUUUGUUCAACGAUUAAAACCCUACGUGAUCUG